GCAAACAUGACGCUUGAACACACGUUAUGUUGUUCGGUGCUGUUGUACAACUCGUAUAACUCCGUUGUAGACUACAAAGAAUGGCGAAUGAUACAGCUCAUCACUGAACCCGGAACCAGGGCAGAGAAACGACGAAGCUGACUUAAUGCAUCACAUAGUGCUUACAAGAA